rnacentral:ncRNA from 1 species
GAUCGAUCGUUUCGCCCGGCUAGGUUCGGUGUCCCCUCGAUCGGGGCUUCCCAGAGCGGGUGCCAGGCUCAUUCGGAGCCUGAGGCGAUCGGCGGUGUUCUUUUCGGCCCGAGAGUCGAGUUGCUUGAGAACGCAGCCCAAAGCGGGUGGUAAGCUCCAUCCAAGGCUAAAUACGGGGACGAAUCCGAUAGCCGACAAGUACCGCGAGGGAAAGUUAAAAAGAACUUUGGAGAGAGAGUUCAAGCGACCGUGAAACCAUCCAGGGUUAAACGGGUAGGACCGCUCACAGCGAUCACGAGGGGACUCAGUCCGCUGUUUCCCGCGGUCUAUGUAUAGACAGACAGACAUACAGAGAUAGAUACUGAUUGAUAGAUAGACAUAGAUAGAUAGAUAUAUACAGUCAUAUACAUUUGCAUUUAUGCAUUCAUAUACAUUUGCAUUUAUGCAUUCAUAUACAUUUGCAUUUAUGCAUUCAUAUACAUUUGCAUUCAUGCAUUCAUAUACAUUUGCAUUUAUGCAUUCAUAUACAUUUGCAUUUAUGCAUUCAUAUUUGCUAUACACAUAACAAGCAUUGUAGAAACACAGCAGACAUACAAACAUAUAACAGUACACCAGUUUCAUAAAAAUGUUUAAAGCCAUUUGCAAAAGAAAUUUAAAGCAUAAAGUACUCAUAUUUCUCUAGAACGCAGCAUGAUUAUUGAAACAAAAUGUCCUUUCCACUGGUCCAAAUUUCAUAAAUGUAUAUUGCUACAUCCUGUUGCAAUACGUUUUAAAUAUGCAUAUGUUUUAAACAUACUCAUGUACUGCGCUAUCACCGAUCUUAGAUUCUAUGCUCUGUAGGUGCAAUUUUAAUUAUUUAAUAACUAAGAAAUUAAGGCCAUUAUGAUAAUUAAGUUAUAGGUUUGUAACAGGAAUAACAUAUUAUUGCAGCUGUGAAAGGUAGUCAGGCUUUAAUUCGUAAGUGUAAACUUGGUGAUGAAAAGAGGAAUAUGAGGCGGUGAUAACAAACUAAAAAUCACAAUGUUCUUAUGGAUGCAAUAAUAUGGUCUUGCUGUUUGAUUCGGCUACAGUACAACGAGGGCAAACCGCUGGAAAUUUCGGUUUAAUUUAUUCCACAUACGUCAGGCGAAAAGCUGGUGGAAUCAUUAGAACCCAAAUCGAAGUACUCAGCUGUUUCGUCCAUCUUUACAUUCUGAGUUCAAAAUUCCGGUGAGGUCGGCUUUCGGAUCGAUAAGUACCAGUUGCGCACUGAAGUCAAUGUAAUCUACUUAUGCCCAUACCGCGAAAAUACUGGCGUUGUGCCAAACUUUAACAUCAAUAUAUUUUAUAUACGCACACACACGCGCGCGCACACACACACACACACACACACACACACACAAAC